AAUAAUUACUUAAUGAUUUAUAUUUAAUCAUAAUAACUUUAAAAUGUGACAGCAAUCGCCCAGAACUGUCAAAAAUAUAUAUAACGAUAUUGAAACACGAGGGGCUUUGAGUCGCGUUAGUAAAUAUUGAGGCUUUCGACCACUUCUUGGAAAAGGUAAAAGCCUAUCAAAACAUUUCAUCAUGUUUGUCAACAAAAAGGUUUUCAAAGCUUGUUUUGUUCGGGUCCAUAUACAAUUUGGUGAAUUCGGCUAAACGCAAUGCAACGAUCAUAACCUCAAAUUAUCGACCAAGUUCGGAGUUGUUGCAGUUGCAACAAUCGGUAUACGGCACUCGGUUUUAUAUGUGCGUGUGAGCCUCGUGCUACAAGUAAGCUCUUAUACUUUGUAAAAUCGAUGACGUAACUAUUCGAUACAAUUGUCGAUUCGAUUGUCGUUUGGCCGAUUCGAGAAGACUCUAUAAACGAUCCGCCCGAGCAGAAGAGAUAAAAUUGAUAUAGAAAGUGCGGUAGGUGUUUGCGCCGUCACGUAUUGCGAUGAUUUCGAUCUAGAUGUGCUAUAUACUUACAAAACUGUCGUGUAGUACAAUAAGAUAUACAUGUGUGUCUUGACGCAACACAAUCUAUACGAUGUUGUCGUCGUUUCUUCGCAAACUUUCGUUGGGCGGCAAAAUACGCGAUGGUCUGCUACUCGACGAUAAGAACGUCAUGGGUACGACCGAGGACUGUGUAAAACCUCGAUCGCUCUGUUACGAGCUUUCACUCAAAGAUGAAACUGAACUCAGAGAGUCUAUUUUUGAUAUACUGAGAACAAUAAAAGAUCCAGAGAAGCCACAAACUCUAGAACAAUUAGAUGUUGUUUAUGAGGAGGGAAUAGAAAUUAAAGAAGCUACACCUGGAGGUGUAACAGUAAUAAGAGUGAUUUUUAAUCCAACGGUACCACAUUGUUCCCUUGCAACACUUAUAGGACUCUGCAUCAGAGUCAAGUUGGAACGUCAUUUACUUGCUCAUUUUAAAUUAGACAUUUUCAUCAAGGAAGGUACUCAUGUCACAGAACAAGAAAUAAAUAAACAAGUCAACGAUAAAGAAAGAAUAGCUGCUGCAAUGGAAAAUCCAAACUUAAGAGAAGUUGUAGAAAAAUGUAUAAGGGAAGAGGAAUAAUGAAAAGUUGCCUAUAUUUUGAUACUUGUAAAUAAUUUUCAAAUAUUUAUAAGUUUGUGCUUCAGUAUUGACCAUGAGUUGCGAAAGCCUAAUAGAUUCUCUUUUAUCAAGUUCAGCCUCCUCUUCUUCUUCCUCUUGCUGUAAAAAGUAAACAAAUUAUUCAUUUCAUUCAAGAACCAAUUAUGCAAAAACUUGAAUUAGAAAUUACGGGAUAAAAUUCAGAAGGAUACUGGUAUUUGAUUGGCUCUACGG